UGUGAACUAAUUUUAACUUUCUUCUUGUUUUUCAGAAGACUUACAGAACUCAGUCUAAGGCGGAGUUCAUAUUAUCUGAAAAACGCUUUGGAAAAGCAAGUUGGGCCAGUGAGCAGUAAGGGGUGUUUCCACUAACCAACAUUGUUGCCAGGAUUGCGUAAGCGUGGGGCGGGUCUAUCAAAAGAAGGUCCAGAUUCUAUUGGGAUGCCACGUGGAAAGGGUUUCCGGCGGUCCCAGGCAGCGAAAAGAAGGAUGGCUGACCGUUAUGCUGUUGGUUCCUCCAUGGACUUGGCAGAGGUUGUGCCACCUCUUAAAAAAGAGGCACAUGUGCCAUACUCGGCAUUGCUGAGUGCAAAUAAGACCAAUGUUAUUCCAAAGUGUUCAAAUGCUCUUCCAAUAUCAAACAACACUCCUCCAAUGUGUACCAAAACUCCUCCAUUGUAUACCAAGACAACUCCAAUGUGUACCACAACUUCUCCAAUGUCUUCCAAGACAAGUCCAAUGUGUACCACAACUCCUCCAAUGUCUACCAAGACAAGUCCAAUGUGUACCACAACUUCUCCAAUGUCUACCAAGACAAGUCCAAUGUGUAUCAUAAAUUCUCCAAGAUCUAAGAAAACCUAUAGUGAUAUUGUAAAAACUUUGGAUGCCAAUAACUCUGAUCAGUUUAUACAAAAAGUCAUACAGGGUUCAUUCCAUCAGGGUGAUGCACGGUUUAGUUUUAACCGUAACAGACAGUGUGCAGUAAAUAGCAUUAUGGCUAUAAUGAUGAGUGAGCUAAAGAAUGUUCUGACAUGGACAACAGAAGACCUGAAUGCUGUUCUAAUGAAAGGAGAUGAGCUGUACACAUGUAUGCGACUGCAGGGGAAGAUCAAUGAUGAGACAGGCCGAGGACAUGUUUCUAUUGCUGAAUUGCCAACUGUGCACACACUGUAUAAUACAAUAUUUUCAAUAAA